rnacentral:rRNA from 1 species
UCGAGGAUCUUCGGCAAUGGGCGCAAGCCUGACCGAGCGACGCCGCGUGCGGGAUGAAGGCCUUCGGGUUGUAAACCGCUGUCAGUGGGGAGGAAAUAUCCGGGGGUUCUCCCCCGGGUUUGACCUAUCCGCAGAGGAAGUGUGGGCUAAGCUCGUGCCAGCAGCCGCGGUAAGACGAGCCACACAAACGUUAUUCGGAAUCACUGGGCUUAAAGGGUGCGUAGGCGGCGCGGAAAGUUGGGUGUGAAAUCCCUCGGCUUAACCGAGGAAUGGCGCCCAAAACUGCCGUGCUCGAGGGAGACAGAGGUGAGCGGAACUCAGGGUGGAGCGGUGAAAUGCGUUGAUAUCCUGAGGAACACCGGUGGCGAAAGCGGCUCACUGGGUCUCUUCUGACGCUGAGGCACGAAAGCUAGGGUAGCGAACGG